AGUCGUAACAAGGUUUCCGUAGGUGAACCUGCGGAAGGAUCAUUAAUGAAAUGCAAGGGCGCUCUUUUUAGAGGUCCGACCAACUCAUUUACCUUUACACUGUGCACAUACUACUUUUUUACACCAAUUUUUAACGCAUUAGUUUAAGAAUGUAAAAUCAGUCUCGAAAGAGCAUAAAAUAAAUAAAACUUUCAGCAACGGAUCUCUUGGCUCUCGCAUCGAUGAAGAACGCAGCGAAAUGCGAUACGUAAUGUGAAUUGCAGAAUUCAGUGAAUCAUCGAAUCUUUGAACGCACCUUGCACUCUUUGGUAUUCCGAAGAGUAUGUCUGUUUGAGUGUCAUGAAACUCUCAACCCCCUCAUUUUGUAAUGAAAUGUAGCGUGGGCUUGGUUUAUGGCUGUUUGCCGGCAUAAAUGUCGGCUCAGCUGAAAUAUACGAGCAACCCAGUUUAAAUACCUGACGGCUUGACUCGGCGUAAUAACUAUUUCGCUGAGGACGUCUAACCUUUAAAUCGUUAGUGGUGCUUCUAAUGCAUUAAUCAUCUUAAGCUUUAGACCUCAAAUCAGUCAGGACUACCCGCUGAACUUAAGCAUAUCAAUAAGCGGAGGAAAUUAAAAGUCG
rnacentral:rRNA from 1 species